GGCUCAGAUUGAACGCUGGCGGCAUGCUUUACACAUGCAAGUCGAACGGUAACAGGCCUUCGGGCGCUGACGAGUGGCGAACGGGUGAGUAAUGCAUCGGAACGUGCCCAGUCGUGGGGGAUAACGCAGCGAAAGCUGUGCUAAUACCGCAUACGAUCUGCGGAUGAAAGCGGGGGACCUUCGGGCCUCGCGCGAUUGGAGCGGCCGAUGUCAGAUUAGGUAGUUGGUAAGGUAACGGCUUACCAUGGCGACGAUGGGUAGGGGUCCUGAGAGGGAGAUCCCCCACACUGGUACUGAGACACGGACCAGACUCCUACGGGAGGCAGCAGUGAGGAAUAUUGGACAAUGGGCGCAAGCCUGAUCCAGCCAUGCCGCGUGCAGGAUGACGGUCCUAUGGAUUGUAAACUGCUUUUGUACAGGAAGAAACACUCCCUCGUGAGGGAGCUUGACGGUACUGUAAGAAUAAGGAUCGGCUAACUCCGUG
rnacentral:rRNA from 1 species